rnacentral:lncRNA from 1 species
CUCCAGGACACCUGGGGCCUGGGCACCCUCAGGGCCUGUGGGGCCUUAACGCAGACCCCAGCUGUGCUCAGCGAGUGGCUGGAUCUGUCCUGGGACGGACGCCAGGUGCGGCAGAACCUGACUUACGAGAGGCGCCAGCCAUUCCUCCCGGACAAGAUCCAUGCAGAGGCCAUGCUAGAGCAUGUCCUCGGGGCCCCCUGCUCCACGCAGAGCUUCUGGGGAGACGUGGAGACAGACCAUGCCCGCUGGGUGCGCCACUCCCUGCGGCUGGGGCUCUGCCACCUGCCCACGGCACUCUCAGUCUCUGGGGAGCACACCCUGGGCAGCGGUGAGCUCCUGCUACACUCCAGAUGCCAGCUGGGCCUCGCCCCAGACCCAGAUCACGGCCUGCACCUCAGCCUGACACUCCACAACCACAGCAGGCCCCGGACGCAUGACUACUCCGGGGAGCUGGAGCUCCAUGGCCCCACAGCUCAGUGGCUUGGCCUGCUGGGCCGCGUCUCCACCUCGGCUUCUCGAAGCCUGGUCCAGCUGGAGGGAAGCGUGGACGACGGGGAUGAGAAAGUGAGGCUGUCAGUGUCUCGGGCCCCGAACUGCCUCCAGGCCUCGGUGGCCCACAAGGAAGGGAGCCAAGAGGAGAGCGUGCUGCUGCGGGCCUGCGCCCACAGGCAGGCGGCGGAGGUGGAGGCUCUGCUCCGGGACCGAGGGCAGCCCGUCCAGCCGCUGGUUCGCUUGACCCUGCAGGCUGCCAACCAGAGCCUCCGCUUGGCCGCACGCGGCUGCCAGGGGACCCUGCUGGGCCACGUGGAGUCCAGGGUGGCUGCUCUCGGGUCCCAGAUGCAAGCGGGGCUGGAGGAGAGGAUCCACAGCUUGGAUGCCUAUGUGAGACGGUUCCAGCGCCUGGUGCAGCCAGCGGGCGCCCUGGAUGGCAUGGCCGGCCUGCUUCUGCGGCUGUGCCAGGCGGGGCUGGGGGCCGUGCAGGACGGUGGCAGGGCGGUGGCCGCGCUGUGGGGCCUGAGCCCCGCUGGGCGGGUGCUCACCCUCCACGUGCCGCUCUCCCUGGAGAGGCUGCGGGCAGGUCUGGAGCAGCUGCGGAAGGAGCUAGAACGGCCCCUGGCCACGCUGAAGGAUGCCUACCUGGAGGUGACGGUGCAGCCCCUGGACAACGUGUGGCGGAAGCGGGCGGAGGAGGCCCUGCGGCAGCUGCAGGCCUGGGUGUCCGGGACACCGGGCACCUGGGGGUCCGGACCCCUUGGGGCAGCGCUGGAGGCCACAGGGGGCGCCCUGGAGCUGGUGAGGUGGGGCACAGGGGUGGGAGGCGGUGUCUCAGGCAGGGAUGGCCCUGACGGCUCUCACGGCCCCCACCCUGUCCAGGCCGCCCACCAGAUGCUGUCUUGGGCCGACGCUGCGCUCUCACGGGCACUGAGGCGGCUCCGCAGACCCCUGUUGGACCUGUACAGCUUCUCAGCCAGGUGACUGUUCCGCUCCGAGGCCCUGCCCCACGCCAGGCACACCUUCCACCUCAUCCACUUCCCUGCCAGAGGCAUUUUCAUCCCCAUUUUACAGAUCAGAAAACUGAGGUCUGUUCUUCAUUCUGC